rnacentral:tRNA from 4 species
GCCUGGAUGGCGGAAUUGGUAGACGCGCACGACUCAAACUCGUGUACUACGGUGUGUGGGUUCGAUUCCCACUCCAGGUACAA